UACGAAGGGGGCGAGCGUUGUUCGGAUUUACUGGGCGUAAAGGGCGCGCAGGCGGUCUUGCAAGUCAGGCGUGAAAGCCCCGGGCUUAACCUGGGAAUUGCGCUUGAUACUCUGAGACUGGAGUACGGGAGAGGAGAGUGGAAUUCCCAGUGUAGAGGUGAAAUUCGUAGAUAUUGGGAAGAACACCAAUGGCGAAGGCGGCUCUCUGGACCGUAACUGACGCUGAGGCGCGAAAGCGUGGGGAGCAAACAGG
rnacentral:rRNA from 1 species